AACGAACGCUGGCGGCGUGCUUAACACAUGCAAGUCGAACGGUAAGGCCCUUCGGGGUACACGAGUGGCGAACGGGUGAGUAACACGUGGGUGAUCUGCCCUGCACUUCGGGAUAAGCCUGGGAAACUGGGUCUAAUACCGGAUAGGACCACUGCCUGCAUGGGUGGUGGUGGAAAGCUUUUGCGGUGUGGGAUGGGCCCGCGGCCUAUCAGCUUGUUGGUGGGGUGAUGGCCUACCAAGGCGACGACGGGUAGCCGGCCUGAGAGGGUGACCGGCCACACUGGGACUGAGAUACGGCCCAGACUCCUACGGGAGGCAGCAGUGGGGAAUAUUGCACAAUGGGCGCAAGCCUGAUGCAGCGACGCCGUGUGAGGGAUGACGGCCUUCGGGUUGUAAACCUCUUUCAGCACCGACGAAGCGCAAGUGACGGUAGGUGCAGAAGAAGGACCGGCCAACUACGUGCCAGCCGCCGCGGUAAAAC
rnacentral:rRNA from 1 species